GUUGUAUAGUCAAGUAAUUAAGUGCAUGUGGUGGAUGCCUUGGCAGUCAGAGGCGAUGAAAGACGUGAUAGCCUGCGAAAAGCUCCGGGGAGGCGGCAAAUAUCCUUUGAUCCGGAGAUGUCUGAAUGGGGGAACCCACCUACUUUAAGGUAGGUAUUGCAACAUGAAUACAUAGUGUUGCAAGGCGAACGAGGGGAAGUGAAACAUCUCAGUACCCUUAGGAAAAGAAAUCAAUUGAGAUUCCCUCAGUAGCGGCGAGCGAACGGGGAUCAGCCCAUUAAGUUAUGUGUGUUUUAGUGGAACGCUCUGGGAAGUGCGAACGUAGAGGGUGAUAUUCCCGUACACGAAAGGGCACACAUAAUGAUGACGAGUAGGGCGAGGCACGUGAAACCUUGUCUGAAUAUGGGGGGACCAUCCUCCAAGGCUAAAUACUCCUGACUGACCGAUAGUGAACCAGUACCGUGAGGGAAAGGCGAAAAGAACCCCUGUGAGGGGAGUGAAAUAGAUCCUGAAACCGCAUGCAUACAAGCAGUGGGAGCACCUUCGUGGUGUGACUGCGUACCUUUUGUAUAAUGGGUCAGCGACUUAUAUUCAGUAGCGAGGUUAACCGUAUAGGGGAGCCGUAGAGAAAUCGAGUCUUAAUAGGGCGUUUAGUUGCUGGGUAUAGACCCGAAACCAGGCGAUCUAUCCAUGAGCAGGUUGAAGGUUGGGUAACACUAACUGGAGGACCGAACCCACUGUCGUUGAAAAGCCAGGGGAUGACUUGUGGAUAGGGGUGAAAGGCUAAUCAAGCCUGGUGAUAGCUGGUUCUCCCCGAAAGCUAUUUAGGUAGCGCCUCGGACGAAUACCAUAGGGGGUAGAGCACUGUUUCGGCUAGGGGGUCAUCCCGACUUACCAAACCGAUGCAAACUCCGAAUACCUAUGAGUACUAUCCGGGAGACAGACUGCGGGUGCUAACGUCCGUAGUCAAGAGGAAAACAAUCCAGACCGCCAGCUAAGGCCCCAAAAUCAUAGUUAAGUGGGAAACGAUGUGGGAAGGCAUAGACAGCUAGGAGGUUGGCUUAGAAGCAGCCACCCUUUAAAGAAAGCGUAAUAGCUCACUAGUCGAGUCGGCCUGCGCGGAAGAUGUAACGGGGCUAAAACUAUGUGCCGAAGCUGCGGAUGUAUACUUUGUAUACGUGGUAGGGGAGCGUUCUGUAAGCCGAUGAAGGUGUGUUGAGAAGCAUGCUGGAGGUAUCAGAAGUGCGAAUGCUGACGUGAGUAACGACAAAACGGGUGAAAAACCCGUUCGCCGAAAGACCAAGGGUUCCAGUCCAACGUUAAUCGGGGCUGGGUGAGUCGACCCCUAAGGCGAGGCCGAAAGGCGUAGUCGAUGGGAAAAUGGUUAAUAUUCCAUUACUUCUGUGUAAUGCGAUGAGAGGACGGAGAAGGCUAAAUCAGCCUGGCGUUGGUUGUCCAGGUGAAAGGAUGUAGGCAUGUAUCUUAGGCAAAUCCGGGGUACUCUAUGCUGAGAUCUGAUAGCAAGCUGUACUUGUACAGCGAAGUGGUUGAUGCCAUGCUUCCAGGAAAAGUCUCUAAGCUUCAGUUACACAGGAAUCGUACCCGAAACCGACACAGGUGGUCAGGUCGAGUAGACCAAGGCGCUUGAGAGAACUCUGCUGAAGGAACUAGGCAAAAUGGUACCGUAACUUCGGGAGAAGGUACGCUGUUGUUGGUGAUGGAACUUGCUUCCUGAGCUGACGACAGCCGCAGAAACCAGGCCGCUGCAACUGUUUAUUAAAAACAUAGCACUCUGCAAACACGAAAGUGGACGUAUAGGGUGUGAUGCCUGCCCGGUGCUGGAAGGUUAAUUGAUGGGGUUANNNNNNNNNNNNNNNNNNNNNNNNNNNNNNNNNNNNNNNNNNNNNNNNNNNNNNNNNNNNNNNNNNNNNNNNNNNNNNNNNNNNNNNNNNNNNNNNNNGGCGUAAGCGAAGCUCUUGAUCGAAGCCCCAGUAAACGGCGGCCGUAACUAUAACGGUCCUAAGGUAGCGAAAUUCCUUGUCGGGUAAGUUCCGACCUGCACGAAUGGCAUAAUGAUGGCGGCGCUGUCUCCAGCAGAGGCUCAGUGAAAUCGAAAUCGCUGUGAAGAUGCAGUGUACCCGCGGCUAGACGGAAAGACCCCGUGAACCUUUACUGCAGCUUGACACUGAACUUUGACCUUACUUGUGUAGGAUAGGUGGGAGGCUUUGAAGCUGGAACGCUAGUUCCAGUGGAGCCGUCCUUGAAAUACCACCCUGGUAAUGUUGAGGUUCUAACUCUGUCCCGUGAUCCGGGACGAGGACCGUGUCUGGUGGGUAGUUUGACUGGGGCGGUCUCCUCCUAAAGAGUAACGGAGGAGUACGAAGGUGCGCUCAGCGUGGUCGGAAAUCACGCGUAGAGUAUAAAGGCAAAAGCGCGCUUAACUGCGAGACCCACAAGUCGAGCAGGUACGAAAGUAGGUCUUAGUGAUCCGGUGGUUCUGUAUGGAAGGGCCAUCGCUCAACGGAUAAAAGGUACUCUGGGGAUAACAGGCUGAUACCGCCCAAGAGUUCAUAUCGACGGCGGUGUUUGGCACCUCGAUGUCGGCUCAUCUCAUCCUGGGGCUGAAGCAGGUCCCAAGGGUAUGGCUGUUCGCCAUUUAAAGAGGUACGCGAGCUGGGUUUAGAACGUCGUGAGACAGUUCGGUCCCUAUCUACCGUGGGCGCUGGAAAUUUGAGAGGAUCUGCUCCUAGUACGAGAGGACCAGAGUGGACGAACCUCUGGUGUACCGGUUGUGACGCCAGUCGCAUCGCCGGGUAGCUAUGUUCGGAAGGGAUAACCGCUGAAAGCAUCUAAGCGGGAAGCCUACCUCAAGAUAAGAUUUCCCUAGGACUUUAUGUCCUCUAAAGAGCCGUUCGAGACUAGGACGUUGAUAGGUUGGAUGUGGAAGCAUAGUGAUAUGUGAAGCUGACCAAUACUAAUUGCUCGUGAGGCUUGACUAUACAACACCCAAGCAGUUG
rnacentral:rRNA from 1 species